AGUACUUUAUCACAUAGACAAGGAAUCAUGAGGAGACACGGGGGAGAUCUACUGGGGCUCCUGUGCAUCCAGGUUUGCUUGGUGAGAGGGAUGAUGGUGAAGCAGAGCCCUUCAGCCCUGAUCCUCCAGGAGAGAGCCAGCUCUACUCUCAAGUGCAAUUUUUCCGAAACUGCGCGCAGUGUGCAGUGGUUCCGACAGCACCCCAGGGGCGACGGUCUCAUGGGGCUGUUUUACAUAGCUUCAGGGAUGCAGCAGAGUGGGAGGUUAAACUGCACAGUGAAUCCUAGGGAUCGGUCCAGCACCCUCCACAUCCGGGCCUCCCAACUGGAAGACUCAGCCACCUACCUGUGUGCGGUGGAGGCACAGUGCUCCCCAGUGAUCUCCAGCCUGCGCCCAAACUGCAACUGCACUUGCAGCCCCCACCCUUCCCCCGGUCGGUCGGGCAUUUGCACCACAGCAGUCUUUGCAGAUUUCCAGACUUUCAGAUUUAUGUGA